rnacentral:misc_RNA from 1 species
CAUGUCAGAUAAGAGUAGAGCAGGGGGAUGAGUGUGCUUUCACGAAGGGGUGAGUCGAGGGAAGCCCCUCUGACAGUUCUAGGGGGAAGCCAAAUCAAGGCUCUACUCCUAGAGUGAAUUAGUUAGUUGUCAAGUUCUGAUGCCAGUGAGAAGUGAAGUGUGUAAAUUGUAAUGCGAGCGCUGUUGCGCGGAGCACUCUACUGUGCUUUGUGGUACGGCAGCAUCGUCGCUGGAUUUUUAUUCAUAGCAUGCCCACUUUUGCCUGUAUUACUACUGAGCCCUAUAAGAUUUCGAAAAUGUGCAGAUUUGCUAUUUUCAUGUUGGGAACUUUAUCCAACGGGAUUACUCGAGUUGUUCGGUGUAAAGAUUCUGGUAUCGGGAGAUCACAUUUCCCCCUAUGAAUCAGCCAUUCUUGUUAUGAACCAUAGAACCAGAGUUGAUUGGAAUUUUUUAUGGGCAGCAAUGUACCAGGCAUGUAUGCCAGAAGUUGCUGCUCAUAAAUUGAAAUUCAUUCUCAAAGAUCCCAUUCGACAUAUUCCAGGGCCAGGGUGGGUGAUGCAGAUGAAUGGCUUCCUUUACAUAACGCGGCACUGGGAGGAAGACCGAGGACGUUUGUCAAACUCACUGGAUUAUUUAGUGGCACUAGGCAGGCGGUGUCAACUUUUAAUAUUCCCUGAAGGAACAGAUUUAACUCCAAACAGUAAAGAAAAGUCCGACAACUACGCGGCCAAACAUGGCUUGCCAAAAUAUCACUACACGUUGCAUCCAAAAACAACCGGGUUCAGUUACUUGGCACGUCAUCUUCACCAGGCGCAGUACCUUGAUGCUGUUUACGAUCUGACAAUAGCAUAUCCUGACUAUGUACCACAAUCAGAGGUGGAUCUAGUGAGGGGAAAAUUACCCAAGGAGGUCCAUUUCCACGUCAAGCGUAUUCCUGCUACCGAUGUCCCAACAGAUGACUUGAUGCUGCGACAGUGGCUGGAGAAGAGGUGGCAUCAAAAAGAAGCAACUCUUCAAGAAUUCUCCAAAGGGAAAGCUUUUCCAGGUAAAGUGUGGCCAAUGGCUUCUUCCUUGCCUCUGAGAGCCGCUAUUGGAUUUUGGAGUUUGCUAACAGGUGCAACGGUUCUGUUACUCGUUAUUUCUCCGUUAUUUCAACUAUGGGCUUUAGUACAUUCAGCUUUAUUUGUUGCCCUCUCCUUGUUCAGCACUGGUUUCAAUCAAAUUGAAAUGGGAUGGUAUUGGCGCUGGAAAACUCAAAGUUAAGAAAACGUAUUUGGGUAUAAUACCAUUGUAAGCUGAAUUGUUUUUUAUCAACUGUGGAAAACCUGGUGCCACAACAUUCCAUGUUGUACUAUGAUGCAUCGCAGGUGAAUACAGAGCAGGCACUACGUUUCGCCUUCUAAGAAAGAGUAACGAGAUGUGAGAAAAUUCGUAAACGCAUGUGAUGUUUAACUACAAUGGAAUAAUAUGCAAACAUUUGAAUGGCUCUACAAAAUGAUAUUUUUUUAACCAAUGGCAUUUGAAGCAGUUUAAAAAUUUUGACAACUUGAUAAAUUAAUUUAUUUUAGUACAUUCGAUGUACACCUACUGCGGAAGAUAUUUAUCUUCAACGGUAUUGAGAAUUAGUAUUUUUUAAUACAACAGUUAUAUAUUUUCUGAAAAAUCCUUUGAGUUUUCUUGAGUUUUACUGAGAUUUUUUUAUAUGGAGUGAUAUCAACAUGACUGCAUAAUAUACGAAUAAGAAAAUUGCUUGGUAUUUCGUACACAUUGGAAGUUGAUUUUUAAUUUUCAUACCUACCCGAAAACUUGAACGUGCCCUUAAACUUUUAUACUAGUAGUAGAAGUAAUAUAACUGAAAAAUUUGUUUUCUUCUCUCAUUCAUCAUUUAGUAUUCAACUCACAGUGUGACGUUAAGUAUAAUAUCGCCAUUCGUUGAUUGCAGUCGUUUUAAUCAAACGUAUUCAGGAUAUGAUUUAAUUCUAUCCAGCAAUGAAAAAAGGGUGCUUACUAGCAUUAUGUGCAAUUCUAUGAACAAUUAUUGCAAUUCAGAAACAUGUUGUAAAUUUAGUAAUCGGUGUCAUCUAUUCGCUUACAAUUAUUCAAAUACACGUAUUUCUCACAAUUGAUUGAGUACAUACAAAAGUUUAACCCAUCUUGUUAUAUUCAAGAUGAUAUCAGUACUAGAAGUCGGUAAUAAUCACAAACAAUGCCAAAUAAUUUGCGUUUUCAAGCACUCAUUGUUGCACUAUUAUUUUGGCCAUUGAUAUACGCAGCUCAAUCUAAUUAGUUGUGUAAUAUGUAAUAUAAAUUUAAGAUGGUUCGCGAGCCUUGUUGACCUGUUAUUUUAUGCGCAGUUAUAGCCUCAUAUCCUGUUUGAAUUUCGAUACACAGAGUGUAUUUACAUUUGAAAGAAUAGCUUAUAGUAAAAUUUUAUUCAAUAUACCUAUACCUUAUAUACAUAUACAUGUAUAUACACACACACUAUUUUAAGCAUCCAAAUACAACGUCUCUAGAUUGACGCUCGGACAAACUACAAUUAACACUUAGCAACAUGGAAAACUCAAUCAGAUCUUCGUUAAAAAACCAAACGAACAUGUGCAGUCACUUGAAAUAGAUGAAUUACACAGUUAUAAUCGUGAACAUGAAAUGUAACUCAUAUUUAUUCAUCUGUCACGAUUAUCCUUCAAUAUUGUUUGCAAUUAUAAUUAUCAGAUAAUGCUGAAAUUUUUUAUUUGAUUUGUCAUAAAAAUUUUGGUGAUGGGUUGUACUUCGAAGAUCUAGUGAUAAAAUACAGCUGUACAUAAGAUUAACCAAGUGUUAAUUGUACCUUGAGCGAGUUCAGUAUUCUAAAAUAUAUGUAUUGGAAGUUCGGACAGAGAAUAUAUUUUUUCCGUAGUUCUAGCAUAUCUCGUAAAAUAAGAAAAAGUGAAUUCACGUGCCAAAGAAGCAACUAUGGUCAACGACACUUCUCUAUUAGCUCAACAGGUUCAAUGGAUUGCGUAAAAUUCGGUUCUUGCGUGUUUGAAAUGAGUUUUUUUUUUUCCCUCAUAGAAAAACAGCGUAAUAUUUUUCCAGCAAUAACUUGAGUAAAUAAAAGUUAACGAGUAAAUGUUUUUCAAGUGCGAUUCAUAAAUUAUUUCAUUAAAUCUAUUGAGUGAUAGUGAUGAAUUUAAGUGUUGGGACCAGGAUAGGUUGCACUAUGUAUUAAUAGUAAAAUCUCUAAUAGGUAUCUUGUACUGUUUGUAAAUUAGCACCACCAUACAUAUAAAUAUCUAAGCAGUUAGCUGGAUUGAAUGGUAUAACAACUACAAUGUGUAUGUAUGAAAAAAAUAUAUAAGGAAUGCUCAUGUAUCUUUAGCUACAUAAAUGUAUCCUGUUAAUUGUAUAUUCGUCAUUCAAAAUAGACAGAAAUUACUUUUAUCGGUGUUAGUAAGAGAUGAGCCAAGUGUUCAUGCAAUUAUACUAAUCCUAAGUGUGUACCAACCUGAAAGGGUAAAUUCAUUUAGAUUCUAAUGGCGUGUAAGGCAAUAUCUUCUUUAGCAACAGAAGUGACGUACAAAGUUCGAUAAUACAGACCCGAAACUAUUCAAAGCAACACUCUCUGCACUUUCGAUUCAAGAAAUACAUUUCAGUUUUACUGUAUACGGAAAUAGAACGUAAAGGGAAAAAACAUGCUUAAGAUUAGUAAUUAUUUAAAUGUAUAUCAGCCGACUCUUCGAAUUCUCUGUAGCAAAAUGAAGAACGUUGAAAUUCAUUUUGGUUUCAAAUCCUGUGAUAAUGAAACUUCGUGUUCAUAUACUAAAAACUUUUGCCAGUUGAAAAUAUCAUCAUCGAGAAGCAUCUGUCUAGUAUAUUUUUCAUUGUAACAGAACAACUUUGUUCUUACAAUUCAUGUGGAGUGAUACUUUCUUUUCAUUUCAUGAAUCUAACACAAAAGCUGAUCGUUACUAGAUGAAUUCAGCAUUCUAAGAAUCCAAUGGUAUACCAUUGAUCGAUGUCACUUUUCGUUUUGAAACUCGGACAUUGUCCAAAACAAAAUCAGCAAUCGAAUAAAUUAGGUCUGCUCAAUAUGAAUGAAUAGUUUUAUCGUUAGUUAGGGAUAAAUGAUAAAUAGUAAUCUGUUUUUAAUCGAUAUUUAUUUUCUUCAAUAGAAGAAGAAAUGUUCAACAAAUGCGUACUAUCACUGAUUCUCAAACACACUUAUCAAUGAUGAGUACGUUGAUGUUAGUUAUACGUGUGUUACAUGUUUUUCGUUUCAUAUGCCUGUAGCUGAUUAAUAUUUCAAUAUUUAAUAAACUUACUUUCAUGAAUGGUAGCAACAAUGUGUAAUUGUGACAUGUAUAGUCACAAGUCAAAUGGAUUUAGUGUAAUUCAAUUUUCAUUCAAUUAAAAUCAUGUUUCUGUGCACUGGAUGUACGUACAUAUCUGAUUUUAAAAUCAAAAGUGUAACACAAAUUCGAUCACAACUGCCUCUCCAUAGUCCC